GUAGCAGAACGGACUGGCUUGAUGGGCCUGCCAUCAGAUUUUCUUUUCUGAAAUCACUUGGCCUUGGACUCUGCUUUCUUGAAAAUAGCUGA
rnacentral:lncRNA from 1 species